rnacentral:rRNA from 1 species
GACGAACGCUGGCGGCGUGCCUAAUACAUGCAAGUCGAGCGGACGAAUCGAAAGCUUGCUUUUGAUUCGUUAGCGGCGGACGGGUGAGUAACACGUGGGCAACCUGCCUUGUAGACGGGGAUAACACCGAGAAAUCGGUGCUAAUACCGGAUAACACGAAAUGUCGCAUGACGUUUCGUUGAAAGACGGCGCAAGCUGUCGCUACAGGAUGGGCCCGCGGCGCAUUAGCUAGUUGGUGAGGUAACGGCUCACCAAGGCGACGAUGCGUAGCCGACCUGAGAGGGUGAUCGGCCACACUGGGACUGAGACACGGCCCAGACUCCUACGGGAGGCAGCAGUAGGGAAUCUUCCGCAAUGGACGAAAGUCUGACGGAGCAACGCCGCGUGAGCGAAGAAGGCCUUCGGAUCGUAAAGCUCUGUUGUUAGGGAAGAACAAAUGACGCAGUAACUGGGGAUACCGUGACGGUACCUAACGAGAAAGCCACGGCUAACUACGUG